GGCAGAAGAAAAAUGUAUCUAACGUGGAGAACUUUGAGUCUACUUCUAGGGGUACAAUUCUCUUUAAGCCCUUUUGCUCUCUUGCCGGUGGUUCAUAUCUUUCAUUUGUUUAUUGUUUUCUUGUGGAGGCCGCUGAAGGUGCUGAGAGAGGACCGGAGGAGGCAAAUACAACUGUGACUACUGCCAGAAGGACAAUACAGGAAGGAUCAGGAUAAACUGUGUUGUGUGUCCUGAUUUUGAUCUCUGUAUAGAAUGCAUGUCCGCUGGAGCAGGGGUUACGCCUCACAAAGGCGAUCACCCCUACCAAGUAAUGCUGAACAUUUUAGUUUUUUGGGCCGACUGAUCAUUUGCUUCUGGGAAUUCUUCCUUUCAUUUCGGAAUUCAGGGGCUUGCUUGAAAUUUAUGGCUUGGGGACAAAGAGUAAAGACAGUGCCUUGAGCACUGCAGAAACAUUUAUUUGAACUCGCUGUUUUUCCCUCUUCCAGACAUGGCGCAUGUAGCUGGGAAGAACAGGAAAAAGCUCCAGGCUGUGGCAGAAGGAUGGACUGAAGUCAAGAGAGGCUUGACGAGAGGAAUCAUAGAAAGGAAUUCAUACUAGAAAGAAACUUGCUGUACCAAAAUCCUUUCGAGAACGACCUGUCUCCAGAAUAGAAAGCGCUGUGCCGGCGUUUUGACGUUUUCAUGCAAUUUCAUUCAAAAGAAGAACAUGAUGAGUUGCUGUUGUCAAUGAGUUCCACAUGUUGGAAAGUCUCAAAGAUCUUAAGGAUGCGCAGGCUUCUGGGUGUCGUUCCACAGGCUAGGCAGAGAGGUAUAUUGAGAGAAAAAGAAAAAGAGAUAUUGAAGAAAAGAUCGCCCAGAGAGG